rnacentral:misc_RNA from 1 species
AUUUACUUUGACAUCCAGAACUCCAGAGACUGGACUAGACAAGCCAUGGAUUUGAUCAACAACUUGAAUAUUGUGUUUGCCCCUCUAGCUAUACUAGCACUCCUUUUUCCUGCCACCUUAUCUCUUUUUCAAGUAUCUUCUCUCAACUUUCAGCAGCGUAUUCAAAGAAGACGUAGCAGGAAAAGUAGUCCUUAUCACUGGAGCAUCCUCCGGCAUCGGCGAGGUGGCAGCCUAUGUUACUUAUCCCUAAAGCAUUUGUUUUAUUUCUUUACAAGAUAUAAGAUAUCCCUCUUUUAUUUUACGAUGCCUGUGCUUUUUAUUUUGUGGGUUUGAAGCAUUUGGCAUAUGAGUAUGCUACGAGAGGGGCUCGUUUAGCCCUUG